rnacentral:sRNA from 1 species
UUGAGAAGGUGAGACCCGGGAGCUGAGGCUCCCGGAGGACUCGCAGGGACAGAUAGUGCCCGACUUAACUCUUUCCUGUGACCUUUUUCUCGGAGAACGCCGGCCCGGCCCUUCUCAUUUAUAAACUGAGCACGGUCUUGCUAUGUUGCCCGAGCUGGUCUUGAACUCUUGAACUCAAGCAAUCCUCCCACCUCGGCCUCCCAAAGAGCUGGGAUUACAGGAAAAUUCUGGAUCUGUUAUCUGUGAGGAGGC